UAGAGUUUGAUUAUGGCUCAGGAUGAACGCUAGCUACAGGCUUAACACAUGCAAGCCGCGGGGCAGCAUGAAGGUUGCUUGCAACUUUUGAUGGCGACCGGCGUACGGGUGAGUAACGCGUAUCCAACCUUCCCUUUGCUAUCGGAUAGCCCGUCGAAAGGCGGAUUAAUACGAUAUGUUCUCCGAAGAAGACAUCUGACUCGGAGGAAAAGCGCGAGCUGGCACUGGAUGGGGAUGCGUCUGAUUAGCUAGUCGGCGGGGUAACGGCCCACCGAGGCGACGAUCAGUAGGGGUUCUGAGAGGAAAGUCCCCCACAUUGGAACUGAGACACGGUCCAAACUCCUACGGGAGGCAGCAGUGAGGAAUAUUGGUCAAUGGGUGAGAGCCUGAACCAGCCAAGUAGCGUGCAGGAGUACGGCCCUAUGGGUUGUAAACCUGCUUUUAUCGCGGGGAUAAUAGGAAGCACCGUGUGCUUUUUUGCAGGUACCCGCCAUGAAUAAGGACCGGCUAAUUCCGUGCCAGCAGCCGCGGUAAUACGGAAGGUCCUGGUGUUAUCCGGAUUUAUUGGGUUUAAAGGGAGCGUAGGCGGCUAGUUAAGCGUGUUGUGAAAUGUAGUUGCUCAACAUCUGCACUGCAGCGCGAACUGGCUGGCUUGAGUGCGCGGAAGGCAGGCGGAAUUUGUGGUGUAGCGGUGAAAUGCUUAGAUAUCACGAAGAACUCCGAUUGCGAAGGCAGCUUGCCGCAGCGCUACUGACGCUGAAGCUCGAAGGUGCGGGUAUCGAACAGGAUUAGAUACCCUGGUAGUCCGCACAGUAAACGAUGGAUGCCCGCUGUCCGGCAUUAAGUUGGGCGGCCGAGCGAAAGCAUUGAGCAUCCCACCUGGGGAGUACGCCGGCAACGGUGAAACUCAAAGGAAUUGACGGGGGCCCGCACAAGCGGAGGAACAUGUGGUUUAAUUCGAUGAUACGCGAGGAACCUUACCCGGGCUUGAAUUGCAAGAGAAGGAAGUAGAGAUACUGACGCCCUUCGGGGCUCUUGUGAAGGUGCUGCAUGGUUGUCGUCAGCUCGUGCCGUGAGGUGUCGGCUUAAGUGCCAUAACGAGCGCAACCCCUGUCCUUAGUUACCAUCAGUUCGGCUGGGCACUCUAAGGAUACUGCCUCCGCAAGGAGUGAGGAAGGUGGGGAUGACGUCAAAUCAGCACGGCCCUUACGUCCGGGGCUACACACGUGUUACAAUGGCGCUGACAGAGUGCAGGCGGCCGGCAACGUCCGUCUAAUCACCAAACUGCGCCUCAGUUCGGACCGGGGUCUGCAACCCGACCCCGCGAAGCUGGAUUCGCUAGUAAUCGCGCAUCAGCCAUGGCGCGGUGAAUACGUUCCCGGGCCU
rnacentral:rRNA from 1 species